rnacentral:rRNA from 1 species
AAUGAACGUUGGCGGCGUGGAUUAGGCAUGCAAGUCGUACGGUGAGCUUCGGCUUAUAGUGGCGAAAGGGAGAGUAACGCGUGGUUACAUGCCCUCGGGACCGGGAUAGCGGCGGGAAACUGCCGGUAAUACCGGAUAAUAUCUUUGGAUCAAAGGUGUGAUUCCGCCCGAGGAUUGGACCGCGUUCUAUUAGCUUGUUGGCGGGGUAAUGGCCCACCAAGGCGACGAUGGAUACCGGGUGUGAGAGCAUGGCCCGGCUCACUGGGACUGAGACACUGCCCAGACACCUACGGGUGGCUGCAGUCGAGAAUCUUCGGCAAUGGGGGCAACCCUGACCGAGCGACGCCGCGUGCGGGACGAAGGCCUUCGGGUUGUAAACCGCUGUCAGUUGGGAGGAAGUGCCGGGGGGUUCUCCCCUCGGUUUGACCGAUCUUCAGAGGAAGGACGGGCUAAGUUCGUGCCAGCAGCCGCGGUAA